rnacentral:tRNA from 1 species
CCGACCUUAGCUCAGUUGGUAGAGCGGAGGACUGUAGUGUUCGUAGAUAAAUCCUUAGGUCGCUGGUUCGAAUCCGGCAGGUCGGA